rnacentral:rRNA from 1 species
AACGUAGGAGACAAACGUUAUCCGGAGUUACUGGGCGUAAAGGGCGUGUAGGCGGUCAGGUAAGUGGGAUGUGAAAUGCCCCGGCUCACCCGGGGACCGGCAUCCCAUACUGCUUGGCUUGAGUACGGGAGAGGAUGUGGGAAUUCCUGGUGUAGCGGUGAAAUGCGUAGAUAUCAGGAGGAACACCGGUGGCGAAGGCGCACAUCUGGCCCGAUACUGACGCUGAGGCGCGAAAGCUAGGGGAGCAAACGGG